AGUUCUAAGAACUCUACAAAGUUCUAAGUUAUGAACUCUGUGGAGGUCUUAAUAAGUACUGAUGAUGCCAGCACAGGGGUGGGGAUGACAGGUGGCCAUAGUAGGAGCUCAGGGGCCAGCCUGGGGCUACCCCAAAGGAAACCUCUCAUUGCUGAGCCCAGAGACAGUAGUGGUGGUCUAUGACAGGAAGCAAUGGUUGGGAAGUAGGGGAGAACCAAAUUGCUCCCUACCCAUGCCAGCCAAAACACUGGCCCUUCUGAGGUCCAGCUUCUUCAGCCCUCCCUGCUCAUGUCCAGCUGGAGGCCUGGGGAUCCCAGGCCAGGCCAGGCUGGGGGCACAGGCUGGGACCACUUUUCUCCCAGCAAGGAGCCAGAAUGAGGGCUUUCUUCCCAGAGUCAGGAUGGGUGAGCCUUCCUCACAUAGGUGUCCCUGACCGAAAAAAGGAAUUGUGACUUCGGUCCUGGAGAGGGUGGAGAGGGAAGGCUGCAGCCCAAGAAAGCACUCCUGGAGGAGAGGGUAGGAGGAGCAAGUGUCCAAGUGAGUAUGGCAUCAGGGCCACUGAAGGGCCCCAGGCAGCUCAGCACUGGGCAGGGAGGACAUGGGGACAACAAGGCUGCAGAGGCCAACGGCCAGAAGGCCCCCACAUCAUGCCUAGUCAGGGUGGACCCCCUGUCUACAGACCUGAAAUCUGCCCAUGGUGAAGAGAUUCCAGCUAUCAGAAGGUCCCAACACUGAGCACUGCAUCCAGGAGCCCGGCCAUUUGCAGGAAGUGUGGAUUAGACGGAAGAGUCUCUGCUUUUGGUCUCAGCUUAACCUGCUUUCACAGCUUCCAGUCUUGGUGAGGGUCUGAAGACCUGGGCCCCCUAAGGUCCUUCUGGGUUUGGGCCAUGCCCUGGGGCUAGAUUGUGGCCUCAUCCCUCUAUACUCCAGUGUAAAAUUAGCACUGCUCACUCGUGCCCUCCUCCUCCCCAAAGCCCCUGGGGGAGACAUCCCCCCACUUUGUCUCCCAGAAACACAUAUGAGAAGGGUGCAGCCCCAAAGCCAAGCUGCUGUUCCGCAGGAGCUUUCUGAGGCCUGAAGGACCUAGAGCCAGUCCCUGUAACCUGGUAUGAAGAAACCCCACAGAGUCUACCACUCCUCCCCGUACCAAGCCCUGGUCUGGGGCCCAGAGUUGCUCCCCUCUCACAGCCCUCUGACUCCAGCCUGACUCAGCCUCCAGCCCUGCCCCCAGCCUGCCUUCGCUCCAGAGCCAGCUGGAGCGCAUGCCGCAAGGUCUCCACAUUGUUCAGAACAUUGUAUCGACUCAGAGCCACCAGCCGCUCAAACUCCUCAGGCUCAUAGGUGAAGUUCAUCAUGCCAUAUGGAGUGUCUGCCCCAUUGACCACAAAGUCCCCGUAGGCCUUCUCCUCCGCUGUUUGUCGCUCCACACCUACAGGUGAGAAGUGGCAAAGAGGCCAGGCUGGGGCACUCUGUGGCUAGGAGUGGCCAGCCCAGAAGCCCCCACCCCUUGCCCUAGGACAUCUGGCAGGACCCACAUUUCAGCUCUCUCUACCAUCAGGAGGAACCGGGCCAGUGUGGAUCCUGAGGCCUGGAAGGUGUGGAGCAGUGGCCAACCUGGGCCCUCCAAGAGGCAUGGGGUCCAGGAAAUCCACUGUCAGAACGGCACCCCACCACCACCCUGGGCUGUGUGAGCCAGACCCCGGCCCAGGGCCUCCCCUCACCUGGGGCCAGGUGUGUGCAGAAGGGGCUGAUUUCAAUGUCACCAGGUGGAAACUGAAUGGUUACAGAAGGGCACGUGGGAAGAGGCUUUAUUCAUCAUCUAAUCCCAGGCCUUCCUUGGACCCAGGAGGAUUAGGAGGAGGAAGCCAAAGAUAGAAGGGCUGGCCCAGCAGCGGGACCAGAAAGCUCAUCCAGAUGAUGGAACCCAUUGGCUACCCCACAGGGUUUGAGGGAGCUGCCCCUAGAGACUCCCCGAGGGGACCUGAUGGUAACUAACGGAGGGCAGACCCAGACGCCAGUCCAGAUGGGAGCAAAGAAUGCUAUUAGGACAGGCAGGGGCCAGAACAGAAGCCUUCUCUUCACCAGUAUGGGAGACUUCUGAGGACCUUCUUUGGCCUCUUCUCCCACCUCCCCCUCCAUCUUAUAGCCUCAGCAAUCCCCCUCCUUCAGCUGGGGAGACCAGUGCCACUAAAAGUCUUCACAAGGUACCUGCCCUUGGAUUAGAACCCAGGCCCUCCAUGAAGGGCAAUUCCCAAAGCCCAGCCAGGCCGCCCUGCAGAGAACCUCAGUUCCUCCCCACCACACACCUUACCUCGAAAGGGGCCUCCAGGGAGUAGUCAAAGGACAGAAUGAGGUCCACCGCUCUCUGGGGCAGCAGGCUGAGUGGGAACGGAGAGUUGAUGGCAAAGCCCCCAUCCACCAGGCACAGGCAGUCCCGCAUGGGAGUGAGCUGGUUGGGGAAGGCGUCAGGGUGCGUAUCUGCAAUAGGGACAAAUGCUCACUCUUCUCUCUCUGUAGAGAUCUCUCCUCCCCUUCUUCUGAUGGCAACAGAGUCUCCCACCCCAGCCCCUGGCCCUGCCUCCUAGCAGACAUCCCAGUCCUUCCCCAUCAGCCCCUGGGCAGCAGGAGCCCAUAGCCCAACCUCCGGGAACAAAGGCAGUGCUGGUCCAGGCAGAGGCCCCUGGUGAAAUUACAGUUCUCCGCGAAGGUAAAGCGGGAAGUAAAGAUGUCCAGCAUGGCCUGGGAGAAGGGCCCCUGACGGGUGAAGAGCCUGGUCCUCAGACGUGUGGGAUCGUGCAGCUGGAGCUUCUGGCAGUCAUCUAGAUGGGAGCGCGUGGGUGAAAUACAGUCAGAAGGGUGCUGUCUGUUCUCCAGUGGCCCUUAUGGCCCAGGGGACCCUUCCUAUCUCCCCCCACAUUCACCCCUCCUUCACCCCACCUCCCAAGCCUCAGACCACUGCUUCCCAGAACCUCUUUUAAAUGACCUUUUCUUUCAGCGUCCCUAUAUUUGAAAGUUGCCUAUGACAGUGUAUUUGUUAAGUGAUAAUUUAUAUGCCCUGUGAAAAUAAAGUUGUGUAUGGGGCGCCUGGGUGGCUCAGUUGGUUAAGUGUCCGACACUUAAUUUCAACGCAGGUCACAAUCUUGUGGUUUUGUGGUCAUGAGAUCGAGCCUGGCAUUGGUCUCUGUACUGAGUGGAGCCUGCUUGGGAUUUUCUCUCUCCCUGUCUGUGCCCCUCCCUCUCUCUCUGUCUCUCUCAAAAUAAAUAAAUAAAUAAAUAAAUAAAUAAAUAAAUAAAUAAAUAAAUAAUUUUUUAAGAAGUUGCUACAAUCUAAAAGCUUUUUUUUAAAAAAAGAAAACAAAGUUUUAUAUACAACUUCCAAUCACAAUUUCAUCCAUUAAAACACCUGCUGAGCAGUUACUGCGUGCUGGGCCCCUCCAGGGCUUAUAGCCUACUUAGGGGGAGAGUCACAUAAAGAGAUCAUAAAUCAUACCAAUGCCCCAAGGUAAGGACAAUGGUGGGGUGUGCACAUAGUCCUAUGAAACUUGGGUGCUGGGGGCGUGCAGUAGAACAGAGAAGCCCCCUGACAAAAUGAUGUCAGAGCUGAAUCUUAAGGGAUGAGCAGAGGUUAUCCAGGGAAGAAAGGUAGUAAAGGUUCUGUGCAGCAGGGAGCAGCCCAAACAGGAGCCCUGAGGUGUGUGGACAGAUAUCCACCAGAUGCCCAGUGGUCCUGGUCUGCAUUGACAUAACUGGAACCCAAGCAGAGAAUUCAAAGGUGCAGUCUUACUAUAGAGCACUCACAGCUCCCACUGGCUUUUCUGAGGUGGGCCUUCCCCUCCUUCCCCUGGUCCGCCUGCCACGCUGCCUCAGCAGAUCUCUGGGCAUCCACAGACCCUAAGCUACAAGUCACUUCCUCAGGACUUCUCUGAAUGCAGUGGGACAGCUGAGUCCUGCACCAUCCCCUCCCUCAUCCUUUGUGCCUCCACCAGGGCCCCGACGCUGGAAAGAGCAGUAGGGGGAGGUCAGGGUGUCUACCCGCACCUGUGAUGUUUACACUCCUUCUGUGGCAGUCUAGGAAGCUGAGGCCCGAGCCGGCAGUCUUCAGGAAGAUCUCAUCCAGGCUGGCUGCAAAGGCGCUGCCCCACACACCUAAGCAGAAAGACAAGGCCCUGGGCCCUCACAUCUCCUCCAGCCCACCUCAGGGCCUGGCCCAGCCCCUGCCCUGGCCCCAGCCCUCCAGCCCAGACUCACCCUGCAGGUAGCAGAUCCGGGGCUCGGGCUGGGGCUGCAGCAGAUGCCCCAUGAAGAACUCAGAGCCAAAGAGCUCAGUGGGAACAUAAGCCCCGUACUUGGGGAAGCCGACCUCAUAGGGUGUGAAUUCGCACCAUUCUGGGGAUCCAGAGUGAAGGGAAUGUCACCAGGGGCCUCCCACCAGGACCCCAAGGUUUCCCCUCACACCUGAGCACAGGAGUGGGAAUCUCAUUUGCCAAGAGCAGGAGGCAGCAAGCCCGCUGUGCUCCAAGGCUCCCAUCUAUAUACACUGAUAGCUCUGGCCUCCCUACCACCCAUCGCCUCCACCUGCUUCCCAGGUCCCUGCACCCAGGCACCUGCGAAGUCUUCCCCACUGAUGUUGGUGUGGACAUUGAUGCUGGCGUAGAUAGGAUAAGGGUUCUGGCCCUGGCUGACGGCCUCCUGCUGGUCAGACAGCUUGGCAGGGUUUUUCUGGUAGGAAGGAAAGGAGGCACUUGACUUUUGGGGGUCCCCUUCCUCCCACCCUCAUGGCUUGAGGCCUGAUACCCUGAAGAGGAUGCCAUGGCCCACAAGGGACUGUGGCUGCCAAGGCCAAUGCUCUAGAGACAGCUCUCUAAGGACGAGGCUUUAGGCUGCAGCAAAGGUAAGGCCCCUGUGGGUUUUGUGCAAUUCCAGGGUCACUGGGAACACUCCCUACUUGUUUCCCAUUCAAGAAAGCAUAUUGGAACCCAAGGGAGUCAGUGACAUUUGUUUUUUUGAGUCAGUGACAUUUUUAAAGGAAAAACUGAAAACCAGUUUACUUUCUUUAAAAAGU